rnacentral:rRNA from 1 species
UGCUCCAAGAGUUUAUAUAUGUGUUGCUGCAGUUGAAAAGCUCGUAGUUGGGGUUUUGAGAUGUUUUUGGGUGGUUCUGGUGGUUUGGGAUUCCGUCCCGGCGCCGGUUAAACACACGCACCCGCGUGUGGCCACCCCCAGACACUUUUUUCGUUCGAGUGGGGUGAGUCUUCUCACCUCCACUGUCGAACGCGUUACUUUGAGUAAAUCUGAGUGUUCAAAGCAGACGAACCUUUGUCGUCUUGAAAGUUGUAGCAUGGAAUAACGUGAUAGGACUCCGGUGGCCCUUUUCAGUUGGUCUAAGCCGUUCCGGAGUAAUGACUAAGAGGGACAGUCGGGGGCACUCGUACUUCCUUGUCAGAGGUGAAAUUCUUGGAUUUAGGAAAGACGAACCACUGCGAAAGCAUUUGCCAAGGAUGUUUUCA